AGAGUUUGAUCCUGGCUCAGAACGAACGCUGGCGGCAGGCUUAACACAUGCAAGUCGAACGCACCUUCGGGUGAGCGGCAGACGGGUGAGUAACGCGUGGGAACGUGCCCUUCAGUUCGGAAUAACCCAGGGAAACUUGGGCUAAUACCGGAUACGUGCGAGAGCAGAAAGAUUUAUCGCUGAAGGAUCGGCCCGCGUCUGAUUAGCUAGUUGGUGGGGUAAUGGCCCACCAAGGCGACGAUCAGUAGCUGGUCUGAGAGGAUGAUCAGCCACAUUGGGACUGAGACACGGCCCAAACUCCUACGGGAGGCAGCAGUGGGGAAUAUUGGACAAUGGGCGCAAGCCUGAUCCAGCCAUGCCGCGUGAGUGAUGAAGGCCUUAGGGUUGUAAAGCUCUUUCGGCGGGGACGAUAAUGACGGUACCCGCAGAAGAAGCCCCGGCUAACUUCGUGCCAGCAGCCGCGGUAAUACGAAGGGGGCUAGCGUUGUUCGGAAUCACUGGGCGUAAAGGGCGCGUAGGCGGCUUGAUAAGUCGGGGGUGAAAGCCUGUGGCUCAACCACAGAAUUGCCUUCGAUACUGUCUGGCUUGAGACCGGAAGAGGUAAGUGGAACUGCGAGUGUAGAGGUGAAAUUCGUAGAUAUUCGCAAGAACACCAGUGGCGAAGGCGGCUUACUGGUCCGGUUCUGACGCUGAGGCGCGAAAGCGUGGGGAGCAAACAGGAUUAGAUACCCCGGUAGUCC
rnacentral:rRNA from 2 species